GGGAAUCUUCCGCAAUGGGCGCAAGUCUGACGAAGCAACGCCGCGUGAGUGAGGAAGGCCCUUUGGGUUGUAAAGCUCUGUUGCCGGGGAAGAAAGUUAGUGUAAGGAAAUGUGCAUUAAUUGACGGUACCUGGUGAGGAAGCACUGGCUAACUACGUGCCAGCAGCCGCGGUAAUACGUAGAGUGCAAGCGUUGUCCGGAAUCAUUGGGCGUAAAGGGUACGCAGGCGGAUAUACAAGUCAAAUGUGAAAGGUGUAGGCUUAACCUACAGACUGCGUUUGAAACUGUAUAUCUUGAGAGCAGCAGAGGAAGGCGGAAUUCCUGGUGUAGUGGUGAAAUACGUAGAUAUCAGGAAGAACACCAGUGGCGAAGGCGGUCUUCUAGGCUGCAUCUGACGCUCAUGUACGAAAGCUGGGGCAGCGAAUGGGAUUAGAUACCCCAGUAGUC
rnacentral:rRNA from 1 species